ensembl:miRNA
UAGGCUGGUGCAAAAGUAAUUGUGGUUUUUGCCAUUGAAAGUAAUGGCAAAACAGCAAUUACAUUUGCACCAACCAAAUA